GCACAGUGGUAGUACGUCUCAUUUAUAAUGAGAAGGUCGGGAGUUCGAUCCUGCC
rnacentral:tRNA from 1 species